UACACGAAGCUGGAAUCGCUAGUAAUCGCGAAUCAGAAUGUCGCGGUGAAUACGUUCCCGGGUCUUGUACACACCGCCCGUCACACCAUGGGAGUCGGGAAUGCCCGAAGUCAGUGACCCAACCUUUGGAGGGAGCUGCCGAAGGCAGGUCUGAUAACUGGGGUGAAGUCGUAACAAGGUACC
rnacentral:rRNA from 1 species